rnacentral:rRNA from 1 species
AUUGAACGCUGGCGGCAUGCCUUACACAUGCAAGUCGAACGGCGGCACGGGAGCAAUCCUGGUGGCGAGUGGCGAACGGGUGAGUAAUAUAUCGGAACGUGCCCAGUCGUGGGGGAUAACGCAGCGAAAGCUGUGCUAAUACCGCAUACGAUCUACGGAUGAAAGCGGGGGAUCGCAAAACCUCGCGCGAUUGGAGCGGCCGAUAUCAGAUUAGCUAGUUGGUGAGGUAAAGGCUCUCCAAGGCGACGAUCUGUAGCUGGUCUGAGAGGACGACCAGCCACACUGGAACUGAGACACGGUCCAGACUCCUACGGGAGGCAGCAGUGGGGAAUUUUGGACAAUGGGCGAAAGCCUGAUCCAGCAAUGCCGCGUGCAGGAUGAAGGCCUUCGGGUUGUAAACUGCUUUUGUACGGAACGAAACGGUGAGCUCUAAUACAGUUUGCUAAUGACGGUACCGUAAGAAUAAGCACCGGCUAACUACGUGCCAGCCGCCGCGGUAA